UAUUUUCAAUUUCUUGUUAGCAAUUUUUAAAGAAUUACGAGUCGGCGGGGCCAUAUUGAGUGCCUCAAAUAUAUGCUGUCUGCCAUUUGUCGCUAUUUGAAAUUCACAAUGAAAAAUAAAUUAUGGGCAUUUGUUUUUAUUUUUCAUCGAAAUUAAACACUUCGUGCAACUUUCGUGAAAUAUUUCGAAAAUAUACGUUUCAUGAAACUGUUACACCAUAUGUAAAAUAUAAAGAACCUCUGUGCAAAAUUUUAAAUUUCUAGAUCUGUGGUUCUUAAGGCGAUUCAGUGACGAAUCAGCACUCGGUGAGCGAGUGAGUGGUAUUUGGCUUUUACACAAAAUAAUAUUGUACAAUUCCCUUGUACCGAUCGAUUUGUAUACACGUAGUGUCUACGUAGGAUUUAUUCGUUUUAAACAAUACGGAACAUAAAAAAUAAAAUCCUUGGCGCCACUAUGAAUUAAUAUAUAAUUGUGUACAAUUGUCCCGAUAUAUAUUUACGCGUUUUACAGACGUCUAGACGCACGGCGGUCCCUUAAUUUUUGUCUGAAUGGCACUGCGGCCAAGGACUUAUAAUACCUAUGAGUUAUGAGUUUUUCGAUCAUUUUUUUUUUUCCACUGUCCACGAUUAAUUAUUAUUGUCAAUAAACGGUGACCAGAGACCAGGACCCGGGGUCAAUUGAAUCUAUAGACUACUUUAUGGCUCUGUAAUAAUGUACACGUGGCACAUUUAGCGAUCGUUAAGCAUAAUAAUAUAACUAUGUAAAAACUGUGUACUUAAUAAUAUUAUUAUUAUUAUCCUAGAGUGCGUAAUUUUUA